AACGAACGCUGGCGGCAGGCUUAACACAUGCAAGUCGAGCGCCCCGCACGGGGAGCGUCAGCCGGGUGAGUACCGCGUGGGAACGUAUCUUUUGGUUCGGCACAACUCCGGGAAACUGGAGCUAAUACCGGUUAAGCCCUAACGGGGAAACAUUUAUGGCCGUAAGAUCGGCCCGCGUUUUAUUUGCUAGUUGGUGAGUUAACGGCUCACCAAGGUUUCGUUCAGUAGCUGGCUUGGGAGGAGGAUCAGCCACAAUGGGACUAAGACACGGACCAGAACCGUACGGGAGGCAGCAGAGGAGAAUAUUAGACAAGGGACGCAAGCCUAAGCCAGCCAUGCCACGGGAGUGAUGAAGGCCUUAGGGUUGUAAAGCUCUUUUGUCCGGGAAGAUAAUGACUGUACCGGAAGAAUAAGCCCCGGCUAACUUCGUG
rnacentral:rRNA from 1 species